rnacentral:rRNA from 1 species
AUUGAACGCUGGCGGCAUGCCUUACACAUGCAAGUCGAACGGUAACAGGUCUUCGGAUGCUGACGAGUGGCGAACGGGUGAGUAAUACAUCGGAACGUGCCUAGUAGUGGGGGAUAACUACUCGAAAGAGUAGCUAAUACCGCAUGAGAUCUACGGAUGAAAGCAGGGGAUCGCAAGACCUUGUGCUACUAGAGCGGCCGAUGGCAGAUUAGGUAGUUGGUGGGAUAAAAGCUUACCAAGCCGACGAUCGGUAGCUGGUCUGGGAGGACGAUCAGCCACACUGGGACUGAGAAACGGCCCAGACUCCUACGGGAGGCAGCAGUGGGGAAUUUUGGACAAUGGGCGCAAGCCUGAUCCAGCAAUGCCGCGUGCAGGAUGAAGGCCUUCGGGUUGUAAACUGCUUUUGUACGGAACGAAAAGCCCCGGGUUAAUACCCUGGGGUCAUGACGGUACCGUAAGAAUAAGCACCGGCUAACUACGUGCCAGCCGCCGCCGUAA